rnacentral:rRNA from 1 species
UACAGAGGUCUCAAGCGUUGUUCGGAUUCAUUGGGCGUAAAGGGUGCGUAGGCGGCGCGGUAAGUCGGGUGUGAAAUCUUGGAGCUUAACUCCGAAACUGCAUUCGAUACUGCCGUGCUUGAGGACUGGAGAGGAGACUGGAAUUUACGGUGUAGCGGUGAAAUGCGUAGAUAUCGUAAGGGAGACCAGUGGCGAAGGCGGGUCUCUGGACAGUUCCUGACGCUGAGGCACGAAGGCCAGGGGAGCAAACGGG